GCCGGGUGCAGUGGCGUGCGCCUGUAAUCCAAGUCACUGGGAGGCUGAGGCUGGCGGAUCACUUGAGCUCAGGAGUUCUGAGCUGCGGCGGACUAUGCCGAUCGGGUGUCCGCACUAAGUUCGGCAUCGAUAUGGUGCUCCUGGGGGAGCUCGGGACCACCAGGUCGCCUAACGAGGGGUGAACCGGCCCAGGUCGGAAACGGAGCAGGUCAAAGCCCCCGUGCCGAUCAGUAGUAGGGAUCGCGCCUGUGAAUAGACGCUGUAGUGCAGCCUGAGUAAUACAGUGGGACUCAGUGUUUU
ensembl:misc_RNA Metazoa_SRP Metazoan signal recognition particle RNA